AUUGAACGCUGGCGGCAUGCCUUACACAUGCAAGUCGAACGGUAACGGGCCUUCGGGUGCCGACGAGUGGCGAACGGGUGAGUAAUACAUCGGAACGUGCCCGAUCGUGGGGGAUAACGAGGCGAAAGCUUUGCUAAUACCGCAUACGAUCUACGGAUGAAAGCAGGGGACCGCAAGGCCUUGCGCGGACGGAGCGGCCGAUGGCAGAUUAGGUAGUUGGUGGGAUAAAAGCUACCAAGCCGACGAUCUGUAGCUGGUCUGAGAGGAUGAUCAGCCACACUGGGACUGAGACACGGCCCAGACUCCUACGGGAGGCAGCAGUGGGGAAUUUUGGACAAUGGGCGCAAGCCUGAUCCAGCCAUGCCGCGUGCAGGAUGAAGGCCUUCGGGUUGUAAACUGCUUUUGUACGGAACGAAAAGCCUUCUUUUAAUACAGGAGGGUCAUGACGGUACCGUAAGAAUAAGCACCGGCUAACUACGUG
rnacentral:rRNA from 1 species